rnacentral:rRNA from 1 species
UACGGGGGGGGCAAGUGUUGUUCGGAAUUACUGGGCGUAAAGGGCUCGUAGGCGGCCAACUAAGUCGGAUGUGAAAUCCCCAGGCUUAACCUGGGAACUGCAUCCGAUACUGGAUGGCUUGAAUCCGGGAGAGGGAUGCAGAAUUCCAGGUGUAGCGGUGAAAUGCGUAGAUAUCUGGAGGAAUACCGGUAGCGAAGGCGGCAUCCUGGACCGGCAUUGACGCUGAUGAGCGAAAGCUAGGGGAGCAAACGGG